rnacentral:lncRNA from 10 species
GUCAGCCAGGCUCCUCAGUACCCCUCUAAUAGCUUAGACUGACUUUUGCGGUUUGGAAAAUGUUCCCAUUUUUCCAAACCAGCUCCUCCAUCACUAUCACAGCCAGACUGUCUGGGAAAACUGCCUGUCUUUUUACAGUGACUAUUACGUUAAGAGAUAGAUUAAAAAUAAUAGGAAGAGGUCAGAAACUUUCUUGCUGUGAGAGAAGAAAAUAGAGUGCGCGGUGAGUGAUCACUAUCUUGGCUGGCCCCAGACAGCCAGGCUGCGGUGGGCCAGCGGAGCUGCUCCCACUCCAGAGGGCGGAACUGGGGCACGUCAAAGACCCACGGAGGCUGCUUGUGGGCUUCUCAGCAGAAGCAGCCUGCAAUGCUAGAAAGACUCUUGUUUUCCAUUCUGAGGAUAAUCCUUCUGGCAAGGGAUGCAUAAAUGAGGUCUGAAUGGGAAGAAGGGAUUACAGCAGAAAAGGAAAAUCUCGCCACAAGGACUAUUUACAAGCUAUAAAUCCAGUUGUUAAUUUCAAGCCAUCAAAAUCAUUCUUCUAUCUCCAGCCUGAAACAACAACGGAUGGUCAACGCAAGGGUAAUCCACCAGAGGAACACUGAGCGGAGCUGUACCGCCCCAGCCACAUCAGCUACUGCCUUUCUUGGUCCAUAAAAUAUGACCUUAAUUACAAGUCAACUUAUUCUCAUUAAGGAGAAGGGAGAGGGGAAGCUAAGAAGGCUGGUUGAGAAAUGAAGGCUGGUCUCAGGGAGCAGAAAUGUGCAUGCAAUUUGCAACAGGAAGAAAGGAAGGCCGACUUUUAUAAAAGAUGUGCCAAGAACACUUCAGGCUCCAGAAAAGACAUGAGCCUGAAGCAGGCAGAGCUUUGUGGAUCACACAGAGGUUGAGAUCCAGCACCACCAUUCAUAACAAGGGCUUCCUUUCUCAUCUAUGAAAAGGUUACUUCAAAACAUAAGUUUCUCAUAACUGUCCUGUUACAUUAUAUUUGGGAGGAGAAAGAAGCAGAAUCUGCAUCCUGAUUGAUCUCUUACAUUCAGAAACCAUAUUGUUACUGUUGGGGCAAAAAUAAAAUAUAAAACAUGAGAAAUGAAAAAGAAAAUGACAAAACCAAGCCUAUAAACUUGCCAGCCAACACAGCACGUUCCAGUGGAGAAAUUCACCAAGUUCUCUGUGGGAAAACUCAGGGCUCUGUAAGUUUUAGAAGUGGGGAGCUCCUGGUGUUUAGUCUAAUUUACCAUGGAAGACUGGCAUUCUGAUAGGAUAGAGGUAGACCAGAGGUCUGAAAACAGCAGGCUAAACUAAGUCCUGUUGUCAUGCAUCAGGAACAUCUUCAGUUACAUCCAUCAAGGGUCUGAGACACAAGGGUCACUCAAUAUUUGUCCGAACCAAUUGUGUUGACACAUGACAUUCAGCUUUGCUCUUACCUAGGCAAGCACUGCUGUCAGUGGAAAUUAUCCUCCCCUUGGUUCUCCCUUUUUCUGAGAUAAUAGAUGAGAACAUAAAGGAUAAGCAAUUUGUCGGGUGUUCGGGUCCACACUGCCGAUUUGGUUUCAGUGCCAUUGUCCCAGAUCUCACUGUGUUCAUUUAAGUCACUUAAGUCUCCUUUAUAAAUAGAAUCAGCUAAUUAGCUGGGCGUGGUUGCGGGCACCUGUAAUCCCAGCUACUUGGGAGGCUGAGGCAGGAGAAUUGCUUGAACCUGGGAAGCAGAGGUUGCAGUGAGCCGAGAUCAAGCCACUGCCCUCCAGCCUGGGUGACAGAGUAAGAUUCCGUCUCAAAAAAAAAAGAAAAGAAAAGAAAAAGAAAUAGAAUCAGCUGAUGUAUGAACCAACAAGAGGGUUGCUGGGAAACAGCAUUUAAGACCUUGUUAACAAUAUGCUUGACAACAGCAACAACCAGGCAUAACAUAACUAAUAGUAGCAUGCUCUAAUCAGCCCCCUAUAGAGACAAGUCCAGGUUAUGAGAAAAGAGUCCACUGGUCAGUCCAACCCAUCUUAGACAAAAAGUUUCCUGUUCUUAAAUUUUAUAUAGGAACUUCUUGACUCACCCCAAAACAUUAAUCCAAAUGUCACAAGAGGUGUUAGCCAGUGCACAACGGCCUUGUUUGGUCAGUAAAGAACUCACAUGUGAUUCUCUUGUUUGACAUCAUUGCAGCGAGUGAGUGAAGGUUUUACAGUUCAGUUUGACCAGCAGGCACAUUCUGGACAAUUUCAUUGGUUGUGAUUGCCAAUGUUACGGGCACUUUCUAAUGCAAAGUCUUAAUCAGGAACCCCAAGCCAAGGAAGAAACCCAUGCAUAAGGCGAUGAAACCAGUAUCCCUGUGACCUCUAGGCCGUUCGCUCUUAGACAGGCAGGUCCUUUGGGUGAUGGCCAGUAUGUAAACACUGAAACUCCAAUCUGGCAUGCAAAUCCACCCAUGCCUACCAGAAUGGGAGACUCUUUCUCUGCUCCAAUGUCCACAUUGGAUGAUGAUAUCAUCUUAGCAGAAAUACACAAAGCCACAAGGAGUACCAUCUGGCAAUUGAUAAAUAUUGUUAAAUAGACCUCUCAAGUGUUUAAGCACCA